rnacentral:tRNA from 2 species
CCCCCCAUAGCUCAGGGGAAAGAGCAGUGGUUUCCUAAACCAUGCGCGCAGGUUCGAAUCCUGCUGGGGGGA